rnacentral:lncRNA from 1 species
UUUUUUAGGGGGUCUCGUUAAGGAAAUAUAAACCAUACUUAUGUUUUUUUAAAUGGGACACCCUGUAUAUUUUGACAUUUUUCGUUUACCUUUUUAAUUCUCUUUCAUCUGAUAUGACAUAUCAUAUAUCUAUUUUCAGUUGUUGGAGCUACCGUGCAAAUAAAUUGUUUAUAGUUGACGUCAGGUUAAAGGCACUUAAAAAUAAAACACUCGGUAACGUAUUUUAACAUUUUAAUAUUAGGGUACCAAUCCUUGACAUUUUUAUUUAGCAA